UCCUCCUAUUAUCUCUUUUUGUAUUGUUCUUGCUUUAUCUUAGUUGUUGGAUUUAGAUCAGAAUCACCCAAACUGAUGCAAACACAUGUCAUUAAUUCUAAUACUUUUUUGCUUCAGUUUUCUUAGAAUAAUAGAGCAUAUGAAUCAGCUGUGAUGGCAAUAUAUAUAUACAUGAGAACACGAUUGGCUCCACUUCAUAAUUUUUUCAUGUUUGAAAGAGGGAUGCUGUAAUACAGUUUCUUAAGGACAUGUGCAAAAAACCAGGCAUUGAUUGCACUAACUUGUUGACCACUUUCACAGGACUUGCGUUUGCUUUUGAUUCAUGCAAUCAUGUACAGUCAUUGAAAUAAGCAAAGGUGGCAUUUUCAGUGGUGUCAUGAACAUUAUCCCAAAGUUCGCAAGUUUAUUUCAACUACCAAGAGUGAGGGUGCAACAAUUUUGAUUGGAAGAUCUGUCUCCUCUUGAGGAAACAAGGAGAAGAUAGUGUUAACAAAGAGGACUAGUUGAAAUGAAACAAGAUAUAUAUGGUGCAGCAACUUCAAGCUUUCAAAAUUAGAAGAUCAAUGUAGAUUUACAGGUUUAGUGUUGUAACAUAUGAGUAUUAAAUAUACUAUGAACCAUGAAUUUGGAUUGUGGAUUGUAAGCCAUCAAUGUAUAUUUAGAUUGUGGAUCAUAAAAUUUGAUGUAUUUAUGAAUUUGUCUCUUUUAAUUUC